rnacentral:lncRNA from 1 species
CACCGCAAACUGAUGAUCGUGGAUGUCUUCUAAAGAUCUGUUGAAAUCGCAUAAGUAUCCGACCUCUAUGGAUAUUCACACGAGACUUCGAUUUGAUCAGAAGCUUCUUGAUCUUACCAGGGUACUAGCUUCUUCGUAGAGAUCACAUCUUGACGGUUGAAAACUCUUUUUUUCUCUCAAAACACUCUUAGAGAAGAAGAAGAAAAUAGGAGGAUGAUGAUCUCUACACUAGAGAUCAUGGAAGAAUAUUUUCUUCUCUUUUCUUCC